rnacentral:rRNA from 1 species
AUGCCGCCCGCGACAUCCUCCAGCGCCAUGACGCAGCUUUCUCGGGGCGCUCCAUCCCAGACGGCACCCACGUGUUCGCGCACAACACACGCUCCAUGGGCUGGCUUCCGGCCAGCAGCCCCCGAUGGCGCGCCCUACGCAAGGUGUGCUCAGGUGAGCUCUUCGCGCCGCACCGUCUCGACAUGCACCAGUCUCUGCGCCAGGAGAAGACGCCAGCAACUCGUCUCCCACGUGACGCAGCUGGCACGAGAGGGCACACCCGUUUGCGUCGGCCGCCUCGGUUUUAUGACUGCACUUAACCUGCUCUCCUCCACCAUCUUCUCAACCGAGUUGGCCAUCCUCGACGACCGCCAUGUCAAGCCUUCGGACUUCAAGGCCAUGCUCGCAGAGCUAAACGUGACCGUCGGAUUGCCAAACCUCUCGGACUUCAUCCCUGAAGUGGCGUGGCUAGACCUGCAGGGCCUGAGGAGACGCAUCGAGGGCUUGUUCACGCGGCUGCAUGCCAUGAUCGGCGAGCAGAUCGAGCAUCAGAUGCGGGACCGUGCCGCCAUCGCAGGUGCGCCGACCAAGAAAAACUUCCUGGACGUGCUGCUGGACUACCACAACUUCCUGGACGUGCUUCGAGCGCCAGACGGUCCUCUCAUUGAUUUCGGACUUGUUCAGCGCGGGGACGGAUACAAGUUCAGCCACGGUAGAAUGGGCGAUGGCGGAGCUGCUACUGAAUCCAUCAUGCAUGUCGAGAGCCCGCGAAGAGCUCGACCAAGUGAUAGGCUCUAA